rnacentral:rRNA from 2 species
AAUACAUGCAAGUCGAGCGGACGCUUUUGAAGCUUGCUUCAAAAACGUUAGCGGCGGACGGGUGAGUAACACGUGGGCAACCUACCUUAUCGACUGGGAUAACUCCGGGAAACCGGGGCUAAUACCGGAUAACAUCUAGCACCUCCUGGUGCCGGAUUAAAAGAGGGCUUCUUGCUCUCACGAUGAGAUGGGCCCGCGGCGCAUUAGCUAGUUGGAGAGGUAACGGCUCCCCAAGGCGACGAUGCGUAGCCGACCUGAGAGGGUGAUCGGCCACACUGGGACUGAGACACGGCCCAGACUCCUACGGGAGGCAGCAGUAGGGAAUCUUCCGCAAUGGACGAAAGUCUGACGGAGCAACGCCGCGUGAGUGAUGAAGGGUUUCGGCUCGUAAAGCUCUGUUAUGAGGGAAGAACACGUACCGUUCGAAUAGGGCGGUACCUUGACGGUACCUCAUCAGAAAGCCACGGCUAACUACGUGCCAGCAGCCGCGGUAAUACGUAGGUGGCAAGCGUUGUCCGGAAUUAUUGGGCGUAAAGCGCGCGCAGGCGGCCUUUUAAGUCUGAUGUGAAAUCUUGCGGCUCAACCGCAAGCGGCCAUUGGAAACUGGGAGGCUUGAGUACAGAAGAGGAGAGUGGAAUUCCACGUGUAGCGGUGAAAUGCGUAGAUAUGUGGAGGAACACCAGUGGCGAAGGCGACUCUCUGGUCUGUAACUGACGCUGAGGCGCGAAA